rnacentral:rRNA from 1 species
GACGAACGCUGGCGGCGUGCUUAACACAUGCAAGUCGAACGGAAAGGCCCUGCUUUUGUGGGGUGCUCGAGUGGCGAACGGGUGAGUAACACGUGAGUAACCUGCCCUUGACUUUGGGAUAACUUCAGGAAACUGGGGCUAAUACCGGAUAGGAUCUCCUGCUGCAUGGUGGGGGUUGGAAAGUUUCGGCGGUUGGGGAUGGACUCGCGGCUUAUCAGCUUGUUGGUGGGGUAGUGGCUUACCAAGGCUUUGACGGGUAGCCGGCCUGAGAGGGUGACCGGCCACAUUGGGACUGAGAUACGGCCCAGACUCCAACGGGAGGCAGCGGUGGGGAAUAUGGCACAAUGGGCGGAAGCCUGAUGCAGCAACGCCGCGUGCGGGAUGACGGCCUUCGGGUUGUAAACCGCUUUCGCAUGUGACGAAGCGUGAGUGACGGUAAUGGGUAAAGAAGCACCGGCUAACUACGUG